GUAGGGAAUCUUGCGCAAUGGGCGAAAGCCUGACGCAGCCAUGCCGCGUGAAUGAUGAAGGUCUUAGGAUUGUAAAAUUCUUUCACCGGGGACGAUAAUGACGGUACCCGGAGAAGAAGCCCCGGCUAACUUCGUGCCAGCAGCCGCGGUAAUACGAAGGGGGCUAGCGUUGCUCGGAAUUACUGGGCGUAAAGGGAGCGUAGGCGGAUAGUUUAGUCAGAGGUGAAAGCCCAGGGCUCAACCUUGGAAUUGCCUUUGAUACUGGCUAUCUUGAGUAUGGAAGAGGUAUGUGGAACUCCGAGUGUAGAGGUGAAAUUCGUAGAUAUUCGGAAGAACACCAGUGGCGAAGGCGACAUACUGGUCCAUUACUGACGCUGAGGCGCGAAAGCGUGGGGAGCAAACAGGAUUAGAAACCCGUGUAGUCC
rnacentral:rRNA from 1 species